rnacentral:rRNA from 1 species
GACAGAGGGGGCAAGCGUUGUCCGGAGUAACUGGGCGUAAAGCGCACGCAGGUGGCCGCGCAAGUGCCGUGUGAAAGCGCCGGGCUUAACCCGGCGAGGCCAGGGCAGACUGCACGGCUCGAGGGCGGCAGAGGUCGUUGGAAUUGCCGGUGUAGUGGUGAAAUGCGUAGAGAUCGGCAGGAACACCCAAGGGGAAACCGAGACGACUGGGCCGCUCCUGACACUCAGGUGCGACAGCGUGGGGGAGCCAACCGG